UACGUAGGGGGCAAGCGUUGUCCGGAAUCAUUGGGCGUAAAGAGCGCGUAGGCGGCCCUGUAAGUCCGCUGUGAAAGUCAAUGGCUCAACCCUUGAAUGCCGGUGGAUACUGCAGGGCUAGAGUCCGGAAGAGGCGAGUGGAAUUCCUGGUGUAGCGGUGAAAUGCGCAGAUAUCAGGAGGAACACCGAUGGCGAAGGCAGCUCGCUGGGACGGUACUGACGCUGAGGCGCGAAAGCGUGGGGAGCGAACAGG
rnacentral:rRNA from 1 species